UUCAAAUGAAUCUUAUUGCCCCUGUUAUUAAGGCAUUAUUGUUUUGACCCGGCUCAUUCCUUAUCUCGCCGUUUCCCCAUAUCUCGGCAUAUUAUCUUCAUUGUUCAUAUAAAAUUGAAGACACAUCCAAAUCAGUGCCUCGCCUCUCCAUCAAUGAUUAUCACCUAAACCUCCACCGUCCAGCAAUAAGAAAUCAUUUUUGCGUUUGUUUCAUCAGGUCUCGAUUUUGUAUUUUUUGUUUAGGGUAAACUGAAGCACACCAUAUCUCCUCUCUAUCUCACUCUUAUGUCUCUUGAAGAACCACCAUACCAACGUCAUUCUCUGUACAAAUCAGGUAAAACAACUUCUUUUUCAUCUCUUAUAUUGAACAAAUUACAACGGAAUUUCUUUUUCAUCUAUUUUUUUUUGAAGAAAUUGCAACUAGGUCGAUGGCUCUUGACCCGGUCUGUAUUCUCCAUCCUGUCUAACAACCUCCCCGAUAUUGAUUAAGAUCUUAAGCUUCAGUUUGAUCUUGAAGAAAUAUAUCAACUGAGGUGAGCUCUGUUGGUAUUUGAUAUGUAUGGAUAUCAUGGAAAUAUGUUGAUGCUUAUAUGUAGAGAUGGGUGAUGGAUAGGAAGAGAAUCAAAAUGUUGAUAACCAAUGUUGCUCUUUUUUAGAUCAGGGUUCUUUUUCAUAUGUCCUAUUUCAAGGUGAAGGAUUAACCUAUACACCUCAUGUUUGAAUAUUGUAGUUAACGUAAGAAGUUGAAGUGAUUAAGGGGUGUAAUUCGACGUUGCAUCAAUCUACUAGAACCAUCUAUACACGCCACUCUUUCACUCAUUUUCUUAUUCUCCUUCUCAUACACAUAUGAUGACAACUUUAUACCUGGUUUUACUUACAUUUUCAUGCCAACUUUGAUUAUAAUUGUUUUAUUUUGUACAGAUUGUUGCCGACUUGCUGAACCUAGCAGGACAAAUUUAAAACAUAAGGGAGGAUAAUUAGGUAAUUCAAUAUCUCAUGUUAUUGUCCUAUAUUAUUCAUAAUGCUCUAUAAUCGUAUUUUUCAAUACAAUAUGUUUUAGUUAUAUAAAAAUCUUACCAAUUCUAAAUGAAAGUAUUGAAUAUUGUGAAUGGGGUUACAUUGAUAUACACAAAAUCACUUUCAGCAGAUGUAAUUUGGUUUUGGCUCCUAUGAGGUGUAUAUUUGACUCCCAAUAACGGCAAUCUUUUUUUUAAAUGUAGUUAUCCAUUAUGUGUGAAAAAUUGGUCUUUCCUAAAACUUGAACAUACAUGUUUUUUACUUGAAAAGCUAAACUGAUUAGCCAAUUUCUACAACCAAAUAUGUGUACAUUUGAAAUGUGUAGCUUAUAUGUUAGCUAAUUUUACAAAAAUUACAACUUUGUCAUGAAAUGGGAUCAUUUUGGUGAAAAUCAUGUCGUUACGUUUCCUAUUUUAGACUGGGCGUUUCUCUACCAUUUCAUAUUUUUCUCUUUGGUGGAUUGUUGAUAUCGUAUAUCUACCCAAGUUCACCUUUAAAGGUAAAUUCCUUAUCAUUUUUAACUACAAUUUACUCUAAGAUCGAUUACAAGUGUUUUCCUUUUGAAUGAAGAAUUAAGAAGUGCUUCCUGGGAGUUUUUUUGGUAGUCAUGGCAGAUCAUUGAAGUAGAUGGAAGCACUAUUAUGCUUAAUUUGUUGGUAGUCAUAUACUUUUUUAACAACAGUAUUUGGUGGAUGAAGCUCAAAAUAUGUCCCCCUUGAUCAUUUGACUAAGUGACAUAGUUUGCUACUGCACCGGUAAUGUUCCAUUUAGUUUGUUGUGUUUUUACGUUAUGGAGUGUCUUCAACAACGAGAGGAAAUAGUUCAAAUGGUUUAAAAACCCAUGAUCACCAUGUGAGUAAUUUGAAGGAAAACAAAGGCGAAAUAGGUAUUGGAUGGGUGUCUGAUUUCAUUAAGCCAACUUUUUUUUGUCUUAACCUAUUAAGUUGUUAUGUCCCGAUUAAAAAAAAAAAAAGAAACAGCCAAGUAUACAUCUCGAGUUUAAUUGCUAACAUAUUGAGCUCAUUAAUUCAAAGAAACAUCUCCUCGCUUUUUGCUCAUUAACCUACAUAAUUUUUUCAUGUCUUGACAAACUUUGAGAUGGAUGCCUCAACAUUAACUAAUAAUGUUUUUGUUUUUGUAAUUAUCUGCAGGACGGGGUCAACUCUUAUUGACUAAAAUUGAUUAGUUACAGAAUAUAGUUUUGAAAAAUAUAUGUGAAUUGUCAAUUAAAAGAACCGGUGGAACCUUUCUUUUAACAAAUAGACUUGGAUAAGCCGUUACUUGAAUCUACAGAUUUCUGUAGGUCCAAUCUAUGGAUAAUGAAGUUUAUGGAGGGUUAUGUAGAGAUUUAGUUGUUCAUUGUGUUCUGGUAACUUUUAUUUGUUUAAGAUUUGGCUAUAGAGUUUAAGAGAAAGGAGAAUCAAGGAACUUUUAAAGUUUCUAUUUGAAAAAAUUAAUGAUAUUACAAGAAUUUGAAGUUGGCUCAUUUGUGUUUUAGAAGUUUUUGGGCCUGUUAUAUUUAUUUUUUGUUAUAGUGUUAAUGAAAGAUCUAAGAUAAUAUGAAUUUUGUGGGCAUUAAA